rnacentral:rRNA from 1 species
UACGAAGGGGGCUAGCGUUGCUCGGAAUCACUGGGCGUAAAGGGCGCGUAGGCGGUUUGUACAGUCAGACGUGAAAUUCCUGGGCUCAACCUGGGGGCUGCGUUUGAUACGUGCAGACUUGAGUUCGGAAGAGGGUCGUGGAAUUCCCAGUGUAGAGGUGAAAUUCGUAGAUAUUGGGAAGAACACCGGUGGCGAAGGCGGCGACCUGGUCCGAUACUGACGCUGAGGCGCGAAAGCGUGGGGAGCAAACAGG